GACGAACGCUGGCGGCGUGCCUAAUACAUGCAAGUAGAACGCUGAAGAGAGGAGCUUACUCUUCUUGGAUGAGUUGCGAACGGGUGAGUAACGCGUAGGUAACCUGCCUUGUAGCGGGGGAUAACUAUUGGAAACGAUAGCUAAUACCGCAUAACAAUGGAUGACACAUGUCAUUUAUUUGAAAGGGGCAAUUGCUCCACUACAAGAUGGACCUGCGUUGUAUUAGCUAGUAGGUGAGGUAAUGGCUCACCUAGGCGACGAUACAUAGCCGACCUGAGAGGGUGAUCGGCCACACUGGGACUGAGACACGGCCCAGGCUCCUACGGGAGGCAGCAGUAGGGAAUCUUCGGCAAUGGGGGCAACCCUGACCGAGCAACGCCGCGUGAGUGAAGAAGGGUUUCGGAUCGUAAAGCUCUGUUGUAAGUCAAGAACGGGUGUGAGAGUGGAAAGUUCACACUGUGACGGUAGCUUACCAGAAAGGGACGGCUAACUACGUG
rnacentral:rRNA from 1 species